UUGUUUAUAACCGCCGUCUUGCAGGGGGGAGAUAGGAGAGAAGACCUCGGGCUGGGCCAGCACUGAGUCACCUCCCCUUUUGUGAUCUGAGCAGCGUCAUUGCCGGUCCCGACUGUGCCGUGCACCUGACCACCAGCAGGUCCCAGAGGGCCACGGUGGUCCUGUCCCUCUUUGCCUACAGGGCAGGGGCUGGCCCAGGCAGGGCAGGUGGUCAGCUGCCAGCCCAGGCCUGGAGCAUGUGUAGCACCCUGCUGGAAUAUUUAUCUGUGACUCAUUCAUUCAUCCAGAACCUGCAGUGCAGUGUUCUAGGUGCUGAGGAGUCAGCCUUGAAGGAAUCGAGUGGAAUUCCUGUCUGUGGACCUUACACUCCUGGACUGGUCUGUGGCAUCGUUUCGUGAGCUGAGAAUGGAGCAAGGGAGCAGUCAGAUGUUGUUCAGCAAGGAUGCCCAGACCACGCAGUGAAGAAAGAAGAGUGCUUUCAACACAUGGCUCCAGGAAAACACUGCCUACUUGCAAAAGAAUGAAGUUUGACCCUUCCUUUAUACCAGUUACAAACAUUAAAGGAAAAACCACCGCCUGUAACACUGGCAUCCCGUAUGGGCACUGGUUCGAGUCCCUGCUGUUCCACUUCCAAUCCAGCUCCCUGCUAAUGCACCUGGGAAAGCAGCAGAGACUGGCCCAAGUGCCUGGGCCCCUGCCAACCAUGUCAGAGACACGGAUAGAGUUCCUGCUUUCUGGCUUUGGCCUGGCCUAGCCCCGGCUGUUGCAGCUAUUUAAAGAAUAAACCUGUAGAUAGCAGAUUUCUGUCCCUCUCCUUCUAUUAGCAUUUCAAAUAAAUCGUCAAAAAAAAGAGAGAACAUCCUGUCUUUCCUGUUCUGUAGAAGGGGACUUGCGCUGUCCCUGAAGGGCUGGAUUGUGGUGCCUCUUUGCUAGAGUUGUGUUUUUUUUUUUUUUUUUUAAUGAAUUUGAGUGGCAGAGUUAUAGACAGGAGGAGACAGAGAGAGAGGUCUUCCAUCCACUGGUUCACUUCCCAAAUGGCCAAAUGGCCAGAGCAGAGCCAACCUGGA